rnacentral:rRNA from 1 species
GACGUCGGAGGCAAGCGUUAUCCGGAUUUACUGGGUGUAAAGCGCAAGCAGGCGGUUGGAGAAGUCACCUGUGAAAGCGCCCGGCUCAACUGGGCGAGGACGGGUGAGACUCUCGAACUUGAGGUAGGUAGAGGCAUGUGGAAUUCCGGGUGUAGUAGUGAAAUGCGUAGAGAUCCGGAGGAACACCAGUGGCGGAGGCGACAUGCUGGACCUAUACUGACGCUCAGACGCGAAAGCUAGGGGAGCAAACGGG